GGAAUCUUGCACAAUGGGCGAAAGCCUGAUGCAGCAACGCCGCGUGAGCGAAGAAGGCCUUUGGGUCGUAAAGCUCUGUCCUAAGGGAAGAAGGAAGUGACGGUAUCUUAGGAGGAAGCCCCGGCUAACUACGUGCCAGCAGCCGCGGUAAUACGUAGGGGGCAAGCGUUAUCCGGAAUUAUUGGGCGUAAAGAGUACGUAGGCGGUUCUUUAAGCGCAGGGUUUAAGGCGAUAGCUUAACUAUCGUUCGCCCUGUGAACUGGGAGACUUGAGUAUCGGAGAGGAAAGCGGAAUUCCUAGUGUAGCGGUGAAAUGCGUAGAUAUUAGGAGGAACACCAGUGGCGAAGGCGGCUUUCUGGACGAAAACUGACGCUAAGGUACGAAAGCGUGGGGAGCAAAC
rnacentral:rRNA from 1 species